AUGAUAGAUGUGUUUUCCUCUUGCCUCACUCAAAUAAUUUUUUCCAAACAAAGUGAAAGUUUGUACCAAAAACCGAAAGAGGGGCAAAAACCGAACAAGAAAAUAUUAAAAAAAUUGAAUUCUAGAGACGUCACGGCGGCGAUGCCGCGAGUUUCGUCGGAGAACCACAGUGACUCUCCCUUUGAACAACCACGCCUUACCCUCUUUCUUCUUUUGCUUUUGUGUUGUUUUUUUGUUUAA